UCAGACGAUGCGUCAUGCAUAUCAAUAAGCGGAGGAAAAGAAACUAACAAGGAUUCCCCUAGUAACGGCGAGUGAAGCGGGAAGAGCUCAAAUUUGAAAUCUUAAAGGGUUUCCCUUUACGAAUUGUAGUUUAAAGAAGUGUUUUCUGUUGAGGUUUUGGUAAAAGUUCUUUGGAAUAGGACAUCAUAGAGGGUGAGAAUCCCGUAUUUGACCUUUACUUUCAACUUUGUGAUACACUUUCAAAGAGUCGGAUUGUUUGGGAAUGCAGUCCAAAAUGGGUGGUAAAUUUCAUCUAAAGCUAAAUAUUGGCGAGAGACCGAUAGCGAACAAGUACCGUGAGGGAAAGAUGAAAAGAACUUUGAAAAGAGAGUUAAACAGUACGUGAAAUUGUCAAAAGGGAAGCGUUUGACACCAGUGUUGUUUUUCUGAAAAUCAAUUAAAGAACUGUUUAUGCUAAGCUGUUUAGACUUUAUCAGCUAUCUGUUUAGUUUUGAGCUUUUCUUUAAUGCACUUUUCAGUUAACAAGUCAACAUCAAUUUCUUUUGCUGUAAGAAAGCUUGAGGAAGGUGGCUUGAGAUUCGUCUUAAGUGUUUAUAGCCUCUUGCCUAUGCAGUCGGAGAGAUUGAGGUCUGCAGCGUAGAUCCUUCGGGGCUAAAUGCAUUUGUGCUAAGUUAUAGCAUUUUAUAGACAACUUGUUGACUAUGAUUUGUCUUGUAGCUUACUCGCUUAUGUUAUUUUACCUACGCUUAGGAUGUUGACACACGCGCGUGCUCG
rnacentral:rRNA from 1 species